UCGUAGCCAAAUAUAUACAUAACAAAACCUUUCCCAUUUUAACCAUUUUUAAUUAUACAAUUUGGUGGCAUUAAAUACACUCACAGUGUUUGGCAACCAUCAUCACAUCCAUCUCCAGAACUUUAUUAUCAUCCUGAACAUAGUACCUAUGAAACCUGUGAUGGUUAAUGUUGAGUGUCAACUUGAUUGGAUUGAAGGAUACAAACUAUUGAUCCUGGUUGUAUCUGUGAGUGUGUUGCCAAAGGAGAUUAACGUUUGAGUCAGUGGGCUGGGAAGGGAAGACCCACCCUUUAUCUGCGUGGGCACCAUCUAAUCAGCUGCCAGUGCAGCUAGAAUAUAAAGCCGGAAGAAAAAUGUGAAAAGAGAGAGACUGGACUAGCCUCCCAGCCUACAUCUUUCUCCUGUGCUGGAUGCUUCCUGCCCUCGAACAUUGGACAGGUUCUUCAGUUUUGAAAGUAGACUGGCUCUCCUUGCUCCUCCGCCUACAGAUGGCCUAGUUUGGGACCUUGUGAUUGCGAGGAAGAAACAUUAAUGACAGUCAUUACAUUCCCCCAGACUUUCACAUGGAAGAUGCCUGAAGCACUCAGACAGAAUUUUCUUGUUUACUAAGAGAGCAUUUAAAACCUGAUUUGAUUUAUGCAUAGUCUUCUGGAGCACGCUGAUAACAUAAAGCCAGGCUCCCCUGAGGACAAGGACUAGAACUUCUUCGUCUUCUCUACAUCAUCCAGUACCUGGCCCAUGGAUAAGUUAAUAACCAGCAUGAAGCCUGCUAUCUAGAAGAGGACUGACCCACCCAAAGCACCCAGACUGUCAUCCCACCCAGCAUAAAAACAAGCCACCCCAGAGACGCAGAGCUGGCACCUCAAGCGGAAGGCUGGCUACGUUGUUUCCACUUGAUCUGAGCUUGCCGCCAUUGAGAUGGAAGAUACUGCUUCCCUUGGGGAGGAGAACGUUGUGUGCCAUGUGGCGCUGGAGAAAUUCAUGUGGACGCUGCGUGACUAUUUGCUGGGGAUUUUGUAGAGAAGAUGUUAGCACUCUGAAUGGUUAGACUUUCAAUAUUUCAUAUUUGAUUUCUCCAAAAUACCCAGAAUGACUGAGGAGACUAAAUAUUUAUCCUUAAGCUGAUAAAGGCAGGUAGUAUGAAAUUACCCUCCGCAAACAUACAAUGUCUUUGAAGUUGUAAAAGCCAUGCAUAAUUUACAACUUAAAUCAAAAUAUAUUUGUGUUUAUGCUAAUAUGUUCUAUUCUGAUUAUUAUAGUGCAAGGACUAGAAAUUAGUUGAACAAGUUAAGUAAAAUGGCCAGCUUAUGUUAAGUGAAUCCAUCUCGUAGAAUCCAAGAACAGUGAAGGCGGGGGAGCUGCAUGUUGUCGGGUGCUGGAGAGCUGUCGGGAGUGAGGGGGCUCUUCCCAUUUCUCAGGGCUGCUUGUGUUUCCUCUCAGCUCCUCUCUGUGGAUCUGCUCUCUGACAUUUAUAUGUGGUUCAAAACAGAACCCUUCACUUUUGGGUCUAUUCAGUCUUUUAGUUCCAGCCUUCAAGAUCAAAUAUCUACAGCCUCUUAGCUCAAAAUUGGAAUGGUUAUGCUCAUUGGACCAGGUGGCUAUCCCUAAAGCAAAUUAUUUAAGGUUGGAAAGGCAGCGUAUACAGUUGGUGUUCCAGGGACUAAGGGUAGGACAGGUCAAACUACAAGGGGGAGUCCUACAUACAAAGCAAAUAAUCUAUAAGUAAAUGUGAUGUUCCAAGUUACUUUCCAUCCUGAGAAGUCAAAGACAAACAGCAAAAAGUAUUUCACUUUCUCCUGUACCUUAGUGUAUAGCAUGGAACUAGACAAGGUCUAAUUUGAAGCUAAAUUCCAGAUUGUGUGCUCUCUCCCAGGGCCUGAAUAAUGUAAUUCUUUCACAAAAGGAAAAAAAUAGUAAUUUUACUGUGAAAAGUAGAAUAAUAUUUGUCAGACCAGACCUCAUGUAUUUUAGCUGUGUGCUCUUAGAAUAUAAAUACAAAAUGUAAAGAAAAGUAGUUUUUGAAGUCACCCUCCAGUUUAGUAUGAAAUGUAAUGGCGUCUUCAAACUUGGGUGAUGUUUACAUCUUAAAAUAACACUGUUGUUGUGAUGAAAUAUAUUACAUAAAAUUUACCAUUUUAACCAUGUUUGAGUGUACAGUUCAAUGGCAUUGAAUUGUAGAUAUUUUACUCUUUCGGAACCUAUUGUAAAUGUGAUUAUUUGUUGGUGUAUAGAAAUACAACCAAUUUUCUGUGUAUUUG
rnacentral:lncRNA from 1 species